AUGGUGAUACAUUCACAUACAUUAGUUCAGAGCUCAACUCUACAGCAAGUAACCACUUCCUUUUUUGUGGCUCCUCCUCAGAUACCAAUAAAGCUGACAGUAAAGUUCAGGUCUGUUUCUCUCUGUCUGAUGAUCAUGAUGCUCACGAUAAACCAAGCAGCACUGCUCUUCGUUCAGCUGUUAGUGGUGUGGCAUGUCUUUGCAGAGAUCGCUAAAGACGACCACAGAGCUGUGCUGGUGUCCAGAGGAGACUCAGUGACACUGACUUGCAACAUAUCCAAGACAAAUGCAACAUCGAUCAUCUGGACCAGCAACAGAUCUGUUUUUCAAUAUUCCAUUGAGCUGAAUCGCACCCAUUCAAAUUUCUCAUUUCAUAGACUGAAAAUAAAUCAUGAGUUUCCUACAAAGCUAAUUAUUUUUAGUGCUCAGCCUGAAGAUGAAGGACUUUAUACAUGUAGCAUAACAGACAGACAUGGCAUAAACAGCAUUACAUGGAGUUUAACUGUGUCUGAGAACCCAGAAGAAUCCACUUCAUCAAAGUAUCUUCUACACAUUCUCCCACCUGCAGUUGGAUUGUUAUUAUGUGGCAUCACAUUAGCUGUCUUCCUCUGCAGGUAA
ensembl:lncRNA